rnacentral:rRNA from 1 species
UACAGAGGUCUCGAGCGUUAGGCGGAAUCACUGGGCUUAAAGCGUGUGUAGGUGGAUCGGUAAGUACCUUGUGAAAUCCCACAGCUUAACUGUGGAACUGCUUGGUAUACUGCCAGUCUUGAGCCAGCUAGGGGCUACCGGAACAAAUGGUGGAGCGGUGAAAUGCGCAGAUAUCAGGAAGAACACCCGUGGCGAAGGCGGCUCUCUGGUACGUGACUGACGCUGAGACGCGAAAGCGUGGGGAGCGAACAGG